UACGUAGGUGGCAAGCGUUAUCCGGAAUACUGGGCGUAAGCGCACGCAGGCGGUCUUUUAAGUUUGACGUGAAAGCUCCCGGCUUAACUGGGAGAGGUCGUUGAAGACUGGAAGACUUGAGGCAAUGAGAGGGGUGUAGAAUUCCCGGUGUAGUGGUGGAAUGCGUAGAUAUCGGGGGGAAUACCAGUGGCGAAAGCGGCACCCUAGCGUUAGCCUGACGCUCAUGUGCGAAAGCGUGGGGAGCGAACGGG
rnacentral:rRNA from 1 species